rnacentral:rRNA from 1 species
AGGACGAACGCUGGCGGCGUGCUUAACACAUGCAAGUCGAGCGGAAAGGCCUUUCGGGGUACUCGAGCGGCGAACGGGUGAGUAACACGUGAGUAAUCUGCCCAUCGCUUCAGGAUAGCCAUCGGAAACGGUGAUUAAUACUGGAUAUGACAUUCCUUCGCAUGUUGGGGUGUGGAAAGUUUUUUCGGCGGUGGAUGUGCUCGCGGCCUAUCAGCUUGUUGGUGGGGUAAUGGCCUACCAAGGCUUUGACGGGUAGCCGGCCU